UCUAUUAAACGUCAAAUUAGGUUAUGAUUUUACAAAUUAAGCACCAAAACAGCAUGUUUUACAACAAAUUUGACAGAAAAGCAGUUCAAUACACAGUAAUGUUAUGUUAUAAUUACUGUAUUUACGAAUUUAGCACCAAAAUAUCAUUAUAUAUUGAAAACAUUGACUACAGAAAUGCAUUGGAUAAUCCAGAACAUUGGGUAAGUGAGACUCUACUGUAAUAAUGCAUUGUCGAAGGUUUUUAUGGCCGGAAUCACUGGGUUACUGUGAGUUUUCCAGGCUAUAUGGCCAUGUUCCAGAAGCAUUCUCUCCUGACGUUUCGCUCAAAUCUGUGGCAGGCAUCCUCAGAGGUUGUGAGGUAUAUUGGAAAACUAGAAAGAUAGAUGAUGUGCAGGCAGGGGAAAGGGGAACAUAAUAAUAUUAGUGCAGGAACACACAAUAAGCCAAGCCCUCUAGCUUCUUCUUGAAAACCCCAGAGAAGGAGACUGCCACAUUCCAAGGCAUUAUAUUCCAUGCCAAACAGCUCAUAUUGUUAGGGAGAUUUUCCUAAUGUUUCAGUAGAACCUCUUGCAUGAACCCAUUGCUCCAAGUCUUACCACCUCAUCACAUUGAGACAGGAAAGCAUGGGUGACCGUCCCUUUAAGAGUAGAGACUCUGGAACACCCUCCCCAAGGAUCUCAGACAGGCCCCUACAUUGGCAGUCUUCAGAAAGAAUUUGAAGACCUGGCUGUUCCAAUGUGCCUUCCCAGAUUAAUAGGAAAUCUCCAAUACCAAGUCCCAUAAGCACUUUAUUAGAACUAAGAUCGCAUAUCGCACUCUGCACUUGCCCUAUAAGCCUUAUAUAUCACCUGUCACAUCAGCACUUUUAAUCUUGUACCCAUUACUCUGGCCCGGCCCAGUUCUAUUGUGUUCUAGCGUAUUGUUAUUGCUUGUGGUUUAUACUGUUUUAAUUGUUUUAAUUUGCCUUUUGUUUUGUAUUGCUACAUUGUGUGUUGAGGCCUUGGCCUUUGUAAGCCGCAUCGAGUCCUUCGGGAGAUGCUAGUGGGGUACAAAUAAAGUUUAAUAAUAAUAAUAAUAGAGAAUCAGUCCUCUUUAAUCCUCAGCAGUCCCUUUGGAGUUCUACCUCCCCAUCACACUCACAUGUGGAAACCUAAGAGCUGGCAAUACAUUCAUACAUCCAUCACAAGGUCAGUAUUACUUUUUUGUUUUUAAUCAGGAAAGACAACAAUAUCCGAAAGCCAAGAGAUCCCUUGCCCUGCCCAAAGCCCCUUAUAGUAAAGGAGACUGGCACCAGUUUAAAACCAUUGCUUUCCAUGGGAUCCUAUGGUUCUGCAUCAAAGCCCCGUAGGAGACGAGUCUGCAAUGAAACAAGACAUGAAACUUGAUGGUUCCCAUCCCACCUGUUUUUCAAUAGUAAACAUGAGAGUAAAACACAAUGAGAGGAAGGAGCUCUGAACAGGAUUGCUGGCCCAUGUGCAGAGUUCCCUCCUUUCAAGACACUUUUGUCUCUUUUCAACCACAGAGGUCUGUGCAUGAUGACCGGAAGUAGUUUAACACAUGUGAUGAGCUCCGUGCCUCUCCGUGCUUGAAAAGAGACUGAAGUGUCCUACGACGGGGAAAUUUCUCAAUAUGAUAAGAUUUUUAGUCUCUGGAGAAUCAGAAAACUAAGCUGGCUCUGUCUUCAAUAUGACAUCCUUUCAAAUAUUUAAACAUGGCCCUCGUGUCCUCCUCAGCUUUCUCUUCUCCAAGCUAAACAUCCCCUGGUCCCUCAGGACACGUUUCAGCUUGUCCAUCUCCUUCUUGAAUUGUGCCCAGAACUGGACACAGUAUUCCAGUUUGGGUUUCCUUUCGGGAGUGCUUGAGUUGUGUGUUACCGUCUGGCAGGGCAUUGGAUUAGAUGGCCCUUGUGGGAACUCCCAGUUCUAACCUCCUCCUCACAUUGAUAAAUUUCUCCAACAUAGGACACUUCAGCCUCUUUUCAAGCAUGGAGAGGCACAGAGCUCACCACACAAGUUAAAAUUACUUCUGGCAGUCAUGCAUAGCCCUCCUUGGUUGAAAAGAGGCAGAAGUGUCUUGAAAGGAGGAAACUCCACAAUCAACCUCAUCACAUUGAGAAAUUUUCCGCCGAUAGGACUCUUCAGCUUAUUUUCUAGCAUGGAGAUCAUCACAUGUUACAGGGUUGAAAAGAGGCAGAAAUGUCCUGAAAGGAGCAAACACUGAUCAUGGGCCAGCAAUCGUGUUCAGAGGUCCUACUUCUUAUCACACUUAAUUCAAAUCUUUACAACUGAAAAACAGGUGGGAUGGAAACCAUCACAGUUUCCCAUCCUGUUUUCAUUGCCCAACCAUCAGCAAUAGUUUUAACCUGGAUCACUAUCUCUUGUAUCCUCUGGGCUUUGAUGUAGAACCAUAGGAUCCCAUGGAAAGAAAUGGUUUUAAACUGGUGUCAGGCUCCUUAAUGUAAAGGGCUUUGGGCUGGGCAAAAUCUCUUGGUGUUUGGAUAUUGUUGUCUCUUCUCAUUAAAAACAAAAAAGUAACACUGACCUUGUGAUGAAUGUAAGAUGAAUGUAUUACCAACUCUUAAGUUUCCACUUAAGAGUGUGAUGGGGAGGCAGAAUGGGAAAUCUUCCUCACCCAGAUGGAGGAGAUGUCAGGCCUUAUGUAACUUGGCCUGGUCUCUAGUAGGCGGUCAAGAUGGUUUUGUAUGAAAUGUAAGUUAUACGUGUCUCUUAGUCACAAAUCCUCACAGUCAGGAACAUCACACAAUAUUGUUCCAGGUUGGCCUAAGAGGUUUGCUUAUUAUUUUUCAAAAGAUGGACAUAAUAUCACAGGGGUCCCGGAAGCAAGUGGGUGAUGGGUAGAUGAGAUGGAGGAGAUGUCGGGCCUUAUGUAACUUGGUCUGGUCUCCAGUAGGUGGUUCAGAUGGUUUUGUAUGAAAUGUAAGUUAUAUGGAUCUCUUAGUCACAGAUCCUCACACGAUAUAGUUGCAGGGAACAUCGCACGAUAUAGUUCUAGGUUAGCCCAGGAGAUUUGCUUAUUAUUUUUCAAAAGAUGGACAUAAUAUCACAGGGUCCCAGAAGCAAGUGGGUGAUGGGUAAAACCUUUGAUAGAUGUUUGAAAAGAGGACACAUUAAGGAGAAAGGGGUAAGCUUGUUGUAGGGGAAAAUAUUCUUGAAUAUCAAGGAGUCUGAUAUGGUGCCUGAAUGUUUUGGUUGAAUCCCGAAUUGCUAUAAAUCUUUGCUGGAGGAUGUUAUCAGACUGGCCUCUGACUUUAAGGCAAGAAUCCAGCUCAGCCUAGGUUCACUAGAGGCACCUGGUGGGAAAUUACCCAGGACAUAUGGCUGAUGCAUAAGAGGGAGGGAGUUUAUCUUGUUUGUUGAAGAGCCUUGAUGCAAGCAUAGACCAGCAACUGUACUUCAUGCAUCAGCCAGACUGGGUAUUAUACUUUCUUUAAUAAACAUUCUUUUUUGAAUUACUGGACUUUGGUGUGGUGUUGGAUGAAAGGGUAUUCCAGUGCUGGAGUGCAACAGAGCAGGGACAGCUGGGGCUUUGCAAGGUCUGGACCACAGCCUGGAUGCCGUAAUACAUUGGAUGAAGGCCGACACACUAAAGCCGAAUCCUGUUAAGUUGGAGGCCCAGUGGACUAGUAUGGGAGAUUGCAGCCCAAGCGUGUGCCAGGCUCCCUGCAUGCACGUUGCUUUAUUACAGUCAGCAGACCAUGAAAGCAGCGUGUUAAAUACAUUUUAAGACAGAGCCUUGAGGCAUUCAGGUCGACGUUAUACAAAUAAAUCAGGUUAAGUCAAAUCUAUAGAUUUAAAAAUGUAAUAUACUCAAUCAGAUAGGCAAGGAUAAUCUGUUUAAAACAGCCAGGUUUUUAUAAUUUUGCCAUAUUUAAAGUGAGCAAUUUGUCAGACCACUGGAGCAGAAAAACCACAAGGUAUUCAGGAAAUGCUGCAUUAUGGGGUGUGCAAGAUCUCCCUUGUCGCGUAGUAAAAACUACAGGGGGAAACUACAUGUGAUGUGGUUUUGAUUUCAUAAUUAUCACAGGGGCUAAAACAAGCUUUCUUUGGAGCACUUUGAAACUCUUGGGAAGCAAUGUCCACUAACCUCUCUUUGGGUCUGUGGGUAAGAGAUAGGAGAAAGAUAAGCCUCCCAAAUCGAUUUUGCAAGCCACUGCCUUCAUCCAAGGUGAUUGGAAGAAAGCCAGCAAUGUCUUGGACACCAGGGAUUUGGGAUAAAGCAUUAGGUGGCAGCAGAGCCAGAACUGGAUAUUGUUAUAGAUCAGCCAAAAGCUGAUGGUUUCACUAAUGGUUUAGAGAGGAUUGUAGGCUUUCCUGUGGCACAAAGUGAUGAGGGCUCAAGUCUGGGAAAUUCAGGUUUGGGAAAUGAUAUUUCUCUCUGUGAGAAAACUGGCUCAGAAAGUGCAAGGCCUCAAGGCUAGUUCGAGGAGCCAGAAGUAGUAACAGCAGAUAAGGAAUUAAGUGAAGAGCUGAGUGAUAAGGAAGGUUCCCAGGAGAAAUUACAUGUAGUUACGGAGAUCAACAAAAGUCUUCAUUUACAAAUCAGAGCCAAAAAUAGAUUAUGCUGGGCUGAGAGAUUAUGUGGGAAAGCCGGGGGAAAAAUUCACAGGAGAGGUAAUGCUUUCAUGGGUGGCUACUAAACAACAACUUGUUUACCUUAAAGUCAGUUUAGGCAACACUGCACUGGAGUGAGAAGCUAAGCCUGAGUUCUCUUGUUCUUGGUCAAGUCAAGCCUUGGUUUUGGGUUUUAAUCCUAGAAGUUUUCAUGUUCCUAUUCAUGUACUCCUGCUCAAGUUUUACUAAUUAUGCAUUUUUGUAUAAUUAUGGACUUAUGCUGUACCUGUAAUUUCUGGCUGUUCCUGGACCUUACCAUCUCUGGAACUUUAUGAGACAUUUGGAUUAUUGUUUAGUUAUCAGCCAAAAGCUGAUAACUAAACACAUUAUUCGUACAAUGUGUUGCUAAACCAUUUUGGAUUAUAUAGUUUCCUUUCUUAUUCCUGCUUUUUAAUAUGCUUUUUAUGUGUUUUACAAUAAACUGUUUUCUUAUA